UACGAAGGGGGCUAGCGUUGUUCGGAAUUACUGGGCGUAAAGCGUACGUAGGCGGAUUGUUAAGUGAGGGGUGAAAUCCCGAGGCUCAACCACGGAACUGCCUCUCAUACUGGCAAUCUUGAGUCCGGGAGAGGUGAGUGGAACUCCUAGUGUAGAGGUGAAAUUCGUAGAUAUUAGGAAGAACACCAGUGGCGAAGGCGGCUCACUGGCCCGGAACUGACGCUGAGGUGCGAAAGCGUGGGGAG
rnacentral:rRNA from 1 species